UGGAAGAGUCCUUAGAGCCUGUCUAC
rnacentral:piRNA from 1 species